GCCAGCGGCGAUAGCACGUUGAAUACACGGUUCCCAAUGAAUCACUUGAGUUGAGCAACGUGGCGCAUGUUUAGUAUCCGGAUGGGUGACCAUCUGGGAAACCGCGUGCUGUUGGCU
rnacentral:rRNA from 1 species